rnacentral:misc_RNA from 1 species
UUGAAUGGCCUCACGGCCUUCAACCCUUCUGCCCAUGUGGAGUCAGACGUGCCUUCGGCCCUCGUGGCCGAUUUCUAUGCUUUAGACGGUGUCUGACAUGAUUACAAAAAUCA